rnacentral:piRNA from 1 species
UGGUAGAAAAUCCAUUCUGGGCCUGGGCCGUA